AAUAAUAAUAAUAUAUUAUUGUUAUUAUUAUUAUUAUUAUGUUUUUAACUUUUUUUUAAAAUACAUUUUUUCCUCUCUCCCUUCCCUCACGUGUGCCCCCUCCCCCAUCUUUUUCUCUUCCUCUUCCUCGUGCCCUACCUCCAGCCGCACCCUCCAGCCGACCACCAUCACUUUUCUCCUUUUCUUCUCCGAUCCACGGCCGCCGCCUCUAUUUUUCUUCCUUCUUUUUCGUUUUUCUCUUCCGUUCAAACCACUACUGACUGCCUCUAUUUCCGACGAAGCCAAGAUCCAGUCGAGUCCAAGCAUCGUUCACGCAGGCACGCCGACGUCCGAUCUCUUCUCCUCGUCCCAUCGCCGCUGCACCAUUCUCCUGAGGUCGUCGUCCGUUCGUGUUGCACAGCCGAGUCGCGACUCCUUCGCGCGCAUAGUCCCACAGCCGAGUCAUUCGUUCCCCACAGAAACCACUCGUGAGUUGCGGGCCGUUUGUCCAAGCCGGCUUGCACUCCACUCUUUUGCUUGAUCUUUUGUUUAGGUUCGAUAAUUACUGUCUUUUUCCACUGUGAAGUCGAAUUUGUUUUGUUGGUAACAAAUUAAGUUUGGGUUGUGAUUAUUUCAAAGCUGUUCAAACGCUACGGUUGGGAUAAUUGGCUAAAUAGUUAACUUACUUCGAAGGUGUUGUAAGUAACGUGGGUCCCUUGUAUUCAUAACCAAUUUGUGAAUUUUUUGAGUUCGGCUUGCCAAUAUUUGGUAAGCUAGAAUCUACCUUGAGGGGAAAUUAAGUGGGAGUAUAUAUUGUGGAAAUAAUUGAGUUCAUAUUCUUAUGGUUAGGUGUUUUGGGUGAUAUAUAUACGUAUAGAUGUAGACUUGGUGUUGAAUGUAUACUGUGAAUGACUGGAAACAUAUAUGUACUUGAAUUGACGUAGACUUGAUAAUGAAUGCAUAUUGUGAUUGUCUUGAAUUAUAUAUAUAUAUAGAUGUGGAUGUAGACAGGACGACAAUUGUAGAUUGUGUUGUAUAAGAUGUGGAUGUGAACUUGUGAUUGUUGAUUUGAUUGGGUGUAGGUCAUACUAAAGUAUGGUUUUGUACUAGCGAAUUGAGGGGUGUUAUGACUUUAUAGUUUGUUUGACUGAUGUAUUAAAAUGUUACCGACUGUCAUUGGGCUAAAGUGAGAUAGGUUGUCUGUUAGAGUGUAGAGUGUUAAAUGAAAGGAUUAUAUGUUGAGGUAACUGAAUUGUACUAUACAUGACUGUUAAGAUGUUUAGAAUGGAUUAAGGGAAAAAUUGUUAGCUUUCUAUUGGGAUGUGUGCCUUUUAGGUAUCCUACGGGAUCACCACUUAUUGUGCAUCCUUUGGGAGCAUUACACUGAUAUGUGUUUCUGCAGAACACUAGACUUAUAUGUACGUCCCUCGAGGCGUUAGACUGAUUAUGUGUAUCCUACGGGAUCACAAAACUGUGACUGUAUAAGCAAAGGUAAGAAGGGAGGCAGAUCGACAAGGGGCAGGAAGGACGUGAUUGCCAUAGCGGAUAUUUUAAUUUGCUUAUGUUUAAUGUUUUGUUUUCUCAUUACGUUUUAGUACUGAGGACUGUUUAGAAAACUUUGUGGGUUAACUAAAUUCACGAACUGGUGAUUGUAAGCCUUUCUUUGAAAGUUUUUUUUAUUAUUUUAAACAGGGCCCGAAUUUAAAAUUUUGUUUU